rnacentral:rRNA from 1 species
UACGUAGGGGGCGAGCGUUGUCCGGAAUUAUUGGGCGUAAAGAGCUCGUAGGCGGCUUGGCAAGUCGGAUGUGAAAACUCCAGGCUCAACCUGGAGCCGCCAUUCGAUACUGCUAUGGCUAGAGUCCGGUAGGGGAGUGUGGAAUUCCCGGUGUAGCGGUGAAAUGCGCAGAUAUCGGGAGGAACACCGAUGGCGAAGGCAGCACUCUGGGCCGGCACUGACGCUGAGGAGCGAAAGCGUGGAGAGCGAACAGG